UGGGCGGAAGCCUGAUCCAGCAAUGCCGCGUGUGUGAAGAAGGCCUUCGGGUUGUAAAGCACUUUCAGUAGGGAAGAAAAGCCGAGCGUUAAUAUCGCUCAGUGCUGACGUUACCUACAGAAGAAGCACCGGCUAACUCCAUGCCAGCAGCCGCGGUAAUACGGAGGGUGCGAGCGUUAAUCGGAAUUACUGGGCGUAAAGGGCGCGUAGGCGGUUUGGUCAGUCAGAUGUGAAAGCCCCGGGCUUAACCUGGGAAUUGCAUUUGAUACUGCCAGGCUUGAGUGUGGUAGAGGGAAGCGGAAUUCCGGGUGUAGCGGUGAAAUGCGUAGAUAUCCGGAGGAACACCAGUGGCGAAGGCGGCUUCCUGGACCAACACUGACGCUGAGGCGCGAAAGCGUGGGGAGCAAACAGGAUUAGAUACCCUGGUAGUCCACGCCCUAAACGAUGAGAACUAGCCGUUGGGGGUAUUUGAAACCCUUAGUGGCGCAGCUAACGCGAUAAGUUCUCCGCCUGGGGAGUACGGCCGAAAGGUUA
rnacentral:rRNA from 1 species